rnacentral:rRNA from 1 species
UACGUAGGAUGCAAGCGUUGUCCGGAAUUAUUGGGCGUAAAGAGCGCGCAGGCGGUCUAUCAAGUCAGAUGUGAAAUAUCCCGGCUUAACCGGGAGGGGUCAUUUGAAACUGGUAGACUAGAGUACAGCAGAGGAUAGCGGAAUUCCCGGUGUAGUGGUGAAAUGCGUAGAUAUCGGGAGGAACACCAGUGGCGAAGGCGGCUAUCUGGGCUGAAACUGACGCUGAGGAGCGAAAGCGUGGGGAGCGAACAGG